rnacentral:misc_RNA from 1 species
AAGUCGUAACAAGGUUUCCGUAGGUGAACCUGCGGAAGGAUCAUUACCGAGUUAGGGUCCUCUAUGGGCUCGACCUCCUACCCUUUGUCUACCUUACCUUUGUUGCUUCGGCGGAUCCGUUUUCUCUGGAAAACCGCCGGAGGGUCGUAAAACCCCCUCUGGCCCGCGUCCGCCGACAGCCCACAACCACAAACUCUUGUUUAAACGUGUCGUCUAAGUACAAAACACAAAUAAAAGUAAAAACUUUCAACAACGGAUCUCUUGGUUCUG